rnacentral:rRNA from 1 species
AUUGAACACUGGCGGCAUGCCUUACACAUGCAAGUCGAACGGUAACAGGUCUUCGGAUGCUGACGAGUGGCGAACGGGUGAGUAAUACAUCGGAACGUGCCUAGUAGUGGGGGAUAACUACUCGAAAGAGUGGCUAAUACCGCAUGAGAUCUACGUAUGAAAGCAGGGGAUCGCAAGACCUUGUGCUACUAGAGCGGCCGAUGGCAGAUUAGGUAGUUGGUGGGAUAAAAGCUUACCAAGCCGACGAUCUGUAGCUGGUCUGAGAGGACGAUCAGCCACACUGGGACUGAGACACGGCCCAGACUCCUACGGGAGGCAGCAGUGGGGAAUUUUGGACAAUGGGCGAAAGCCUGAUCCAGCAAUGCCGCGUGCAGGAUGAAGGCCUUCGGGUUGUAAACUGCUUUUGUACGGAGCGAAAAGCCCCGGGUUAAUACCCUGGGGUCAUGACGGUACCGUAAGAAUAAGCACCGGCUAACUACGUGCCAGCCGCCGCGGUAA